GCAUCGGUGGUGUAGCGGUAGUAAGUAGUUUUCACGCAGCAAUAGCUCCGGGUUCGACUCCCGGCCGAUGCA
rnacentral:tRNA from 1 species